AGCAACAAUUUAUUUAAACCAUUUCAAGAAAAACGUGCCAAAUAUUUCAAUCUUAAACAAAUCAACGACUUUUAUUUUUGUUUAAAGCAACAUGUCAUCAAGGUUUGUCACAUUUAGUUACCUGUUUAGAAAUUCUAUCAAUUUAGAAUGAAACUUUUCACUCAAAGAAAACUGCACCCUUUCAAUUUUUAAACCAGUUUAAAAAAAGAUAAUUUAUUUGAAAUUAUGAAGUUUCACUAGCUUGACCAUUUUCUUAGCAAAAGGUUUCACAGUUGAACCUGCAAGAAUCAAAUUUUAUGGUAGAUAAACACUCACAUUAAUAAUAGUCAUUGCUUCCAAAUCUGCAACACAGAGGUCCUUUUUUCAUACAACUGACAGAUCAUUGAAUGUGUAUUGUAGACUGACAGGUCAUUGAAUGUGUAUUGUAGACUGACAAGUCAUUGAAUGUGUAUUGUAGACUGACAGGUCAUUGAAUAUGUAUUGUAGACCGACAGGUCAUUGAAUGUGUAUUGUUGACUGACAGGUCAUUUGAAUGUGUAUUAUAGACUGACAGGUCAUUAAAUGUGUUUUGUAGACUGACAGGUCAUUGAAUGUGUAUUGUAGACUGACAGGUCAUUGAAUGUGUAUUGUAGACUGACAGGUCAUUGAAUGUGUAUUGUAGACUGACAAGUAAUUGAAUGUGUAUUGUAGACUGACAGGUCAUUCAAUGUGUAUUGUAG